AUAUAAUCUCUUGCUUUGUCAGCACAUGUGUCUCCUCGGACAAUUCAUUUCCAAGUGUUAGACAAGAGCCCAGUUUCGGGCCCUGGAAGGGGUCCGCCUUCCUACAACAAACUGAUUUGGGGUAACAACGGUGGCUAAUAUCCCCUUCACCAAGCCAAAUGGCACUGUCACUGAGAACAGCUCAUCGUCACUAGUUAGUCUUGGGUAAAAGAUAAAUUAGAAGUUUCCACUUCUCAGCUCCAAUUGCUGGGUUACAGAAAACUUAGUUCCAUCCUCCCUUCCAGACACUUACUAAUUUUGGAGAAGAUGGAAACCUUUGCUGGUGAGAAACCCCAAUUAGAAAGAUAAGACAGUCAAGCCAGGAAAGGAGGGAGUAGGGGGAAGAGUGGGACCAGAGCCUGAAAGGAGGAAAUCACACCCACACCAGAGUCCAGGCAAGGUUUGUAGUUCCCACAAAGAAAUCAGAAAACUCAAAACAGGAAGAAAGAGAUGGGGAAACUGGAUAAUAAACAAAUUGACUUGUUAAGGUCAAACAACCAAGUGGAGGGAUUUGAACUCAGCUGUACUGACUCCAGAGCUUUUAGCUCCUACCUUAUAUAAGACCCUAGAAUCUCCCAGAAAUCCUGAAGUGGACAUUCCAGCGCCUCUUCAGCCCACUCCUAGCUACUUGAGCCCCGGCUCUCAGGAAUCCAACAGUGCCACCUUUAAGGCCUCACUCACAAUUCUGACACCUGCAUCCUGGCUCCUAUAGAAACUCCUUCCCUCUUCUCAAUGUAUGUGAUGUUGAGAGAACUGCAGGAUGAAUGGGGAAGGCAUAAUCAUAAUGUUAAUGGGGCUUUUAGACAUGCAAAUGUAUGUUCCUAGCAGGGAUGAGCUGAACAAAGUCAGGAUGGACAAGUCUCAGAGCCCCAGAUGUGUGAUGUUGGGAGGAGGGGGCCAAGAAAUGAUGAAAGGAAACAUAAGGGCUAUUUAGAAAAAAUGGGACAUUUGAAGGACCCAGUGAGAGGUGUGUCAAUGGACAGACAGCAUGAGAAAGUCGGGAAAGAAGUCUGAGUGCCUGCAAGGAGCAUAGUUCAGAGAAUUCUUGAAAACCAGAGAGCAGGAGAGGAGCCUGGGUGGGGAACUGCUCAAAGCUGGGGGCUUUGUGUGCUCAAAGAGCUUCAGGACAGGAGGCCAUGGGAGCCUGGCUGAUCAGGCUGUCAGGUAGAUUCUAAACAGUUUCAACCUGGGACCUAGCACUCACAUAGAAAUCAGGCUGAAAGGAUCUGGCUUCCCAUUAAUGAGUUAAGCUGAAAUGUGAACCUAGGCUUUUGCUAUGUCUAACAUUUGAACCUUGCAUUUCUUCCCACUGUAAUAAUGCAUUUCACAGAGCUAGCUAAAAAUCCUGGCAAUGUGAACCCCAGGAGACUCAAAGGACAUAUGAACAGCCCUGGUUUUGUGUCUAACCUGCAUCAGUGUCUACCUAGGCCCCAAUAAAUUGCUCUUCUCUUAA